AACGAACGCUGGCGGCGUGGAUAAGACAUGCAAGUCGAACGAGAGAAUUGCUAGCUUGCUAAUAAUUCUCUAGUGGCGCACGGGUGAGUAACACGUGAGUAACCUGCCCCCGAGAGUGGGAUAGCCCUGGGAAACUGGGAUUAAUACCGCAUAGAAUCGCAAGAUUAAAGCAGCAAUGCGCUUGGGGAUGGGCUCGCGGCCUAUUAGUUAGUUGGUGAGGUAACGGCUCACCAAGGCGAUGACGGGUAGCCGGUCUGAGAGGAUGUCCGGCCACACUGGAACUGAGACACGGUCCAG
rnacentral:rRNA from 1 species